UUCGUUUUGGUUUGGUUUGUUUUUUCUUUUGUUGAAUAGUGAGAAGAGGUUUCAAAGGUUGCAUUUUACAUUAAAAACAAAGAUUUUUCAUUUGUUUAUCUAAUCUUCUGUUCACUUCCUUUCAUUGCCACGAAUUGGAAGGUGACAAAUGACUUCGUGAAGGGAUGAGAAAAAGCUUCCACAGUGACAUUUAAAUUGGAACCAAAGUUUGAUGGCGUGCAGAUGAUUUAAAUACAUGUCACCAAUGCAAAGCUAUAACGGCGGAUUUUAAAAGUGCUUUUGCUUUCUUUAUUGCCAUUUUAACAUGCAUCUGGAGAGUGCUGUGAUCCAAUGGAGCCAUUGUAAAUAAGCUGCAAUAGUUGUCUUUCCAAGCUUUUCCUUUACUUGCAUUCCUCAGUUUGCAGGAAGAUCUCCACCCUCCUCCAACAAGAAGUACACUGCCAUCCCUCCUAAAUCCAGGACUCGCAUCAAAAACAGACUGAUGGGAUGCUGUUGUGACAAGAGGAGAGGACAGGAUUGCCCACUGGAUGAGGAGUUGUGGAGCAGUACUCAAGGAAAUCCCAUCGAUCAGACCGAUUCAGCAGAGCUCUGCCGUAGGACCUGAGAAGAGGCCUGUGCUGGGACAAAACGGACCCACAGAGCUGAGCUCUGCUGUGAAGUGGGAGCACAGAGGCCCUCAGCACUCUCUGCUUCACCUGAGAAGUAUUCUGGGGGCAGCCAUGCAGAAAGAGGAGUGCUGAGCACCUGCAGGCCCCCCCUAAGGACAGAUCUCUGCAGACAGACCAAGGGAGGAUCAUCUAUCCUGCACUCAGCAGGCACAACGAUGCUGGGUCCUACCAGGAAAUGUGCUCUGACACACAGCAGCAACAAGGUUUGAACACUUUUUCCUUCGUUUCCGGGGUUUUGUGUCUCAUGCCAGGAGCUGAGAGUGGAUGGAAAGUGGGGUGCUGUGGUUUUGCUGGUCCAUUCGGGCAGCUUCUGAUGGCUGUGGGAAUUAUCACGUACUGCUUUCGUGGUAGCACUGCGUAAAUGUCAAAUAGUUAUAUAUUAUUUUAUAAAUAUCCUUCAGAGACAGGAUUGAAAGUGGCUUCAGAGCUGUUCCCCGAGGGAUUUGGUCACUGUCUUACAGACAAGAAAAGAACUGCUGGGCUGGGACUUUGCCAUGACCAGGCAGCACCCCUGGGACUCUCGCAAGCUGCUCUGAUCUAAUCCUCAUGAAGCCUGACCCUUCCUUUCAAAUGAAACCUAAUCCAUCACCCCCUGAUUGUGCAAAACAUUAUCCGCUGACAAAUGCGGUGAUAGCGGUGCUAAUAGAAGCCUGAUGGAUGGCCAGGGCUGGGACUGCAGCUCUCCUGCCCAGCGACUCCUACCUGAGCUUCAGCAUCUGUGAGCAGGAGCUGGGAGAAGAGCAGUUUUUCUGGAGCUGCCCCAUACAGCCCAGCAUUUUGGCCGGUCUGUGCCAUGCCCUCCCUUCCCAGGUCUGCUAUGGGAAGGACUGCAGCCAGGCAGGGCUGCCUUCAGCUGCUGAGCUCCAAGCUCUGUUGUUUUCAUCCAGCCCAGCACGAAGGCGUAAGCUUUCCUAUUAGCUUUUAUUGUUAUUGUUAUUAUCUAAAUCGUGCAAGAAAAAGCAUUCACUGACCUAGUCUGCAAUAAACUAUAAGUGGUUCUGAAGACCAUGAAGAUGGACAACACGAGGCAGAAGUGCUGCACGCUCUGUUGAGUUUUUCAUUAGGAUUUUUCUCUCCCCCUGUCUAUUUCUCACACCCACUGGAUUAUGAAUUUACAUGCAUUAUAAUGAGAAUAACUACAAUCAUGAUAGAUAGGAUUUUUUUUUUUAAAUCUUUAUGUAAAAAGCUACGGAACAUAAGCGAGCUGUCGAAGUUUGAAGGAAUCAGCCCCAUUUUGGUCAUACACUUUCAUAUUUCUUGUUUUGGGGAUGCAGAGUGAGUCUGGGCUGCAAUCUAAAUUCUGCGGGGAGUUGUGGUUGACGGAAAUAAACCAUGUGUUGAGGGUGCCACGUGAGCUGAACAUAAACAUGAAUUAAACCCUGCAACUGUGAAGGAACCAGGACUGCUGCAAAACUGGUGCUAAAAACAUAAAUUUAAAGCCUAAAAUAAUGGAUUGGAAGCCGGUUUAAUUGCCUCAAUAAAGGGGUAACAUGAAAGUUAUGGGUGUCAGAGCAGAUUAAAUGUACCUCAGAAAUCAGAAUAUGCUGUUGAUGCAUGAUGGAUGAAUGACAGAAGCCUGAAAGAGGCUAUUACAUCGACACAGUUGUAUAGAAAAUGUGGUUUAGUGGUUAAAAAGGGUGAGUGGAAGGCAGGGGCUCUUGCUGGGGCACAGCAGCUUCUUGCAUUGCAGUGUGAGCUUGGGCUGAAGCUUCUUUG
rnacentral:lncRNA from 1 species